CAACAAAAUCUCAAUAACUUUUUACUUUCCAAACUUUGUGAACAUGGUCUGCACUUCACUUCAAGUCAAUUUCUGUUCGAAUAAAAGAAUAUCAGUUAGAGUAAAUCAAACGGCAAACGAGUAACAAGAUUACCAGAACUAUAUCCAUAACAAACAAACAUAUAACAGGAAUCUGAUGGUUUUUUGGUCAUUGCCUAAACCUGUUUUUUCCUUGAUUUUAGUUGUUAGAAGCUAGCAGUAAUCAAAUUGGACUUUUCGGCUGUGACUAAUCAUGCAUUUUUCAGGAAGAAAAAAAAAAGCUACUUAACAAGAUAAUCUACAUGAACUGUGCAAUACAUCCUAAAGCUAUUUCCAGAAUCAGUGUGCC